UUUGUUUCCAGAUUCCUUCAAUUAGAGUGCCUCUGAAAGACAGGGUGUAUUCCAGCUGGCAUUGGGACAACCUAAAGUUUAAACCUUUGGGUGAAAAAAGUGCCAACUUGGGAGACAUAUUAUCAUGACUGAAUCAGAGAGUUGACAGCAUACCAGGAAGUGUCACUGUAUAGUUUGGAAGAUGGAAAUCAUAAUACUUUUUUC
rnacentral:lncRNA from 1 species